AAACCAACUGGGACUGCUCUGGGACAUUCGUGGCUGAUAACUACUCAAGAUGGUAACCAAGAGAGCUUGAAAGCAAAGACAUUCAGGCACUGGAGCAGGGAAAAAUCCAGAUGGCCAGAAGCAAGUAAGACUGUGGCCCUUCCAGGGGGAGAACCAGCAGCAGCUCCUGAGACCCGCGCCAUAUUGGAACUUUGGAUGCUGUGAAACCAAACAACCAGCCUGCCUCCCUGGUCUCACUAGAGCGGUUUGUGACACUAGCAGAAGAAAGGGUCAUCACCUGAGACACUCAGGGAUCUUGGUGUGUCAAGGCUCCUGCCCCAAAUAGUGAGGAUGUACAACCAUUGUACAGCUCUUUGCCCCCAUUUCUGUGAGUCAGCAUCAGUUGACAUCUAGCAUAGGUGGGUGUGGGUAAGGCUAUCCAAAUGCAAUUCAUCAAGUUUAUGGAUGAAGAGAAUGUAAAUCCUCAUCCAAAGCCUCACUAAGGUACUAUUGAGUUAUAUAAGGAUUAGAUUGGGAAUUCAAGGCUAUUGAGUUUAUUGGCCCUGCUUCGUGGAGGUUCUGAUAGAGUGUCUGAAACACCUUAGGAAGGUGCAAGUAAGUGGAUACUACCAGGCACUUGAAUAUUAAGUGAGGGAGUAAGCAGUUACAUAGCCUGAUUCCCCUGAUAAACUGCACCUAAUAUGUGGUUUUCUAAGAAUGUACCAGCUUGCUAAUGCAGCUCAAGGCUGUUUGGGAUUUUUAUCCUU